rnacentral:rRNA from 1 species
UAGGGAAUCUUCGGCAAUGGGGGCAACCCUGACCGAGCAACGCCGCGUGAGUGAAGAAGGUUUUCGGAUCGUCAAGCUCUGUUGUAAGACAAGAACGGGUGUGAGAGUGGAAAGUUCACACUGUGACGGUAGCUUACCAGAAAGGGACGGCUAACUACGUGCCAGCAGCCGCGGUAAUACGUAGGUCCCGAGCGUUGUCCGGAUUUAUUGGGCGUAAAGCGAGCGCAGGCGGUUUGAUAAGUAUGAAGUUAAAGGCUGUGGCUCAACCACAGUGCGCUUUGGAAACUGUCAAACUUGAGUGCAGAAGGGGAGAGUGUAAUUCCAUGUGUAGCGGUGAAAUGCGUAGAUAUAUGGAGGAGCACCGGUGGCGAAAGCGGCUCUCUGGUCUGGAACUGACGCUGAGGCUCGAAAGCGAGGGGAGCGAACAGG